CCUACGGGGGACAGCAGUGAGGAAUAUUGGUCAAUGGGCGCGAGCCUGAACCAGCCAAGUCGCGUGAGGGAAGACGGUCCUAUGGAUUGUAAACCUCUUUUGUAGGGGAGCAAAAGACGCCACGCGUGGCGUUCCGAGAGUACCCGAAGAAAAAGCAUCGGCUAACUCCGUGCCAGCAGCCGCGGUAAUACGGAGGAUGCGAGCGUUAUCCGGAUUUAUUGGGUUUAAAGGGUGCGCAGGCGGAAGAUCAAGUCAGUGGUAAAAUUGAGAGGCUCAACCUCUUCGAGCCGUUGAAACUGGUUGUCUUGAGUGAGUGAGAAGUAUGCGGAAUGCGUGGUGUAGCGGUGAAAUGCAUAGAUAUCACGCAGAACUCCGAUUGCGAAGGCAGCAUACCGGCGCUCAACUGACGCUCAUGCACGAAAGUGUGGGUAUCGAACAGGAUUAGAUACCCGAGUAGUC
rnacentral:rRNA from 1 species